GAUGAACGCUGGCGGCGUGCCUAAUACAUGCAAGUCGAGCGAACAGAUGAGGAGCUUGCUCCUCUGACGUUAGCGGCGGACGGGUGAGUAACACGUGGAUAACCUACCUAUAAGACUGGGAUAACUUCGGGAAACCGGAGCUAAUACCGGAUAAUAUAUUGAACCGCAUGGUUCAAUAGUGAAAGACGGCUUUGCUGUCACUUAUAGAUGGAUCCGCGCCGCAUUAGCUAGUUGGUAAGGUAACGGCUUACCAAGGCAACGAUGCGUACCCGCCCUGAGGGGGGGUACGCCACACCGGAACUUGGACCCCGGCCCAGGCCCCAAGGGAGGGCCCCGGGGGGAAUUCUUCCGAAUGGGGGGAAACCUUGCCGAGCCACCGCCCGGGGGGUAAGAAGGGUCUUGGGUUCGAAAGACCUUUUUUUGGGGGAAAAAAGAAUUUGGAUGUAACUAUGCCGUUUUGACGGUAACCAAAUAAGAAGCCCCGGCUAACCUCGUG
rnacentral:rRNA from 1 species